rfam:Candidatus Portnoybacteria bacterium RBG_13_40_8 RBG_13_scaffold_3293, whole genome shotgun sequence.
GGCCCGAUGGCGAAGAGGUAACGCGGCUGUCUGCAAAACAGCUAUGCGCCGGUUCAAGUCCGGCUCGGGCCU